AACGCUGGCGGCAUGCUUUACACAUGCAAGUCGAACGGUAACAGGCCGCAAGGUGCUGACGAGUGGCGAACGGGUGAGUAAUGCAUCGGAACGUGCCCAGUCGUGGGGGAUAACGCAGCGAAAGCUGCGCUAAUACCGCAUACGCACUGAGGUGGAAAGCAGGGGAUCGCAAGACCUUGCGCUAUACGAGCGGCCGAUGUCAGAUUAGCUAGUUGGUAGGGUAAAGGCCUACUAAGGCGACGAUCUGUAGCGGGUCUGAGAGGAUGAUCCGCCACACUGGGACUGAGACACGGCCCAGACUCCUACGGGAGGCAGCAGUGGGGAAUUUUGGACAAUGGGCGAAAGCCUGAUCCAGCCAUGCCGCGUGAGUGAAGAAGGCCUUCGGGUUGUAAAGCUCUUUCGGCUGGGAAGAAAUCGCACAGGCUAAUACUCUGUGUGGAUGACGGUACCAGCACAAGAAGCACCGGCUAACUACGUG
rnacentral:rRNA from 1 species